rnacentral:rRNA from 1 species
ACACUCCUACGGGAGGCAGCAGUGGGGAAUUUUGGACAAUGGGCGAAAGCCUGAUCCAGCAAUGCCGCGUGGGUGAAGAAGGCCUUCGGGUUGUAAAGCUCUUUUGUCAGGGAAGAAACGGUGAAAGCUAAUAUCUUUUGCUAAUGACGGUACCUGAAGAAUAAGCACCGGCUAACUACGUGCCAGCAGCCGCGGUAAUACGUAGGGUGCAAGCGUUAAUCGGAAUUACUGGGCGUAAAGCGUGCGCAGGCGGUUUUGUAAGUCUGAUGUGAAAUCCCCGGGCUCAACCUGGGAAUUGCAUUGGAGACUGCAAGGCUAGAAUCUGGCAGAGGGGGGUAGAAUUCCACGUGUAGCAGUGAAAUGCGUAGAUAUGUGGAGGAACACCGAUGGCGAAGGCAGCCCCCUGGGUCAAGAUUGACGCUCAUGCACGAAAGCGUGGGGAGCAAACAGGAUUAGAUACCCUAGUAGUCCCA